UUCCCACGUGCCACUGGAGUCCAGGCGCACCCCAGUGCACGGCUACUGCGUGCGUGUGCCCUGACGGUUCCCCUAACCAGCCUGCCCUAAGAGGCUCGGCUGGACAGUCUUGUGUUGGGAUGCCCCGCACUCUUUAUUUUGCUCUUUUGAGACAGGGUCUCCUGUAGCCCAGGCUGGCCUUGAACUCCUGAUCCUCUAUUCCCAAGUGCUGGGAAUCGGCCUGCACCACCACUCCUGGCCGCGUGUCCCUUUUAAUAUGUGGUUCAGCCACCAUUUUACAGAUGCGGAAACUGAGGCUGUUACAGCUCUGAGUACAAGAGGACCCCCAAAACAUCCUAGCUUGAGAACUUCAUGCUAGAAUCAGAAUGGACACCCCUCCCUCUCCCAGUUCAGCUGCGUUGUGGGUCUGGAGAACAGACGAACAGACCCUGAACUCUCUGGCCUCGGUUUCCCGGUGUAAAGGGCUGGAGAGACCCACAUUGCAGGGUUACGCCUGGGCACCCCACAGGGACCACCCACCCGGACAUCUGGAGCCGACCCUCUAGCCAACUUUAGGAAAUCUAAGAACUAAAGGGAGGGGCCACAGGAGGCUGGAGAGGGCAGUCAUCAGCCCUCACACCCAGGCCAGGCGCCUGUUUCUGGGUGUCUGUUCUCUUCCCAGAAGCCAGGGGUGGGGUCUGGAGGAGGGUCUGUGGCGGUGGACACAGCCAGGCUGACCCGACGUCAAUCCUGUCCCACAGGCCAGCGCAAGCACCUGGGCUUGCCCUUCAGCACUUCCUCCAGGUCCUUGCUGGUUCAGCCCUGAUCACAGAGAGACCGGGGUACCCUCCGACCCGCGCUCCCUCCAAGGCAGAGGGGGAGGCAGUGGACGAGGCCCAGGAAGCCCAGCAGGCUGAUUUUGUUGCCUGGGUGAGUGAAGUUGGACCAGGCUGUGUGGAUGUUGCUGGAGGCACAGCACUCCUCGCGGCUGACGUCGGUCUUCAGCACCAGACUGCAGGUGGCCUCUCUGCCCUGCUGGAGCCAGCAGACACCGCCUAUGCCACAGGAGGAGUUGGAGGGUGACUCCAGGCCCCCACCUCUACCUACAAAUUAUUCUGUGUGUAUAGUCUCUGUAGCAAACUCCUAACCAACCCCCAACACCCCAGGCCUAAUGCCCCCUCCAACUGAGAGCUGUCCAUAGCCAUCAUGGGUAUCCUGUCCCCCUACUCAGGAAGACGGGACAGAAAGCCACAGUUUUGGUCCUGACUCUGCUCUGUGGGGAGCCCUCCUCCUCUGAGCCGCACCCCAGUGCUCCACCACCAGCUCUGCCCGGCCUCCGGGCCUGAGAACUGGCACCCUGCCCGGCCCCUUCAAAUGCCAGGCACUCGGCAUGUGAGGGUCUGUGGGCCUGCACUGGCUUCCCGCCUCUGCCCUCUGUCUAGACAGUGCCCAGGGCGGCCGAGCCCCGGCCUGCAGCCCCCCCCAGCCGCCUCUUACUCACUCCAACGGGGAACAUUCCCUCUGCGUGAGCUCACUCCCCUGGGAUGGGACGGGGGACGCGGCCCUAGGGGAGGGGGCUCGGCUCCCCUGGAGGCCGGCAGCCCCGCGGGGCGGGGUAGAGGCUGGAACGCAGAGCCCAGCUUUCUUCACCCUUAAAUGGGGACAGCCGCAUCCCCUGUAUCAGGACUCAUCCGUGCUCAGGAGACACUACUGGACGCCUUCCACGAACUGGGCCCCCCACCUCAGCAAACACUUUUCAAAACGGGAAACUGAGGCUAGAGCUCUCCAAGCCAGAUGCAGGUAUACCAUUCUAACAGACAUUCCAAGGAAUCCUGAAACCCUCUACCCAGAUGGCAUUAGCAGGUCUGGCCACCCAGAGAUGUCUCUCUAAAAGAGAUGUCUCUCUAAAGGGGCCACCCACAGUGUCACUUACCAGAGGUUCAUGACCCCGAGCCUCAGUUUACCCAUCCUGAAAACGGGGAUGGAAAAAGUACCCACAACUUUGGGUUCUGUGGACUCAUGGGAAAGCAGGCAAACAAUAAGAGCUUAAUAAAUAAAUGUCAGUCCUCUCUUGA